rnacentral:rRNA from 1 species
UACGUAGGGUGCGAGCGUUGUCCGGAAUUACUGGGUGUAAAGAGCUCGUAGGUGGUUUGUCACGUCGUCUGUGAAAUUCCGGGGCUUAACCUCGGGCGUGCAGGCGAUACGGGCAAUACUUGAGUGCUGUAGGGGAGACUGGAAUUCCUAGUGUAGCGGUGGAAUGCGCAGAGAUCAGGAGGAAUACCGAAGGCGAAGGCAGUCUUCCAAGCCGUUAUUGACGCUCAACUGCGAAGGUGUGGGUAUCAAACAGGAUUAGAUACCCCCGUAGU